ensembl:lncRNA
GGGGGGGGUCUUCUGUGUUUUACUUGAUUAUAAUUACGUUCGGAGGAGGGGGUUGAUGACGACAUCUUUGACUGUGCCAACGAAGUGAUCCCGGGCCAUGAAGAAGCUGCUCUCACUCUCACUGUAACCCGAUUCCACUUGGCAGUUGCAGAGUGCACUGAUCCAUCCAGAGGCUUAAUAUGCAUCCCAACAUCUGACCGGACACUUGUGGCUAUAGUUAUUAUUCUUUGUUACCAUGUGUGGUUCCUGAGGACGGAUGUUGUAAUUUAUUGGGAGAAUCUGUAUGAAGGAAAUAUCAUGGUUAUAUAUAUAUAGUGAGUCAUUAUAUCUUUUGAUAACGAAACCUGAACAAAAAUAGAAGAAAUAUAAUGUGUCGAUAAGCAUUACCAUUGAAAAUGAUUUACCCAGGUCAAAGCCACUACUAUGUUUCAAGUAUUUACGUUUGCAAUACUCACGGGAAAGCCAAUGCAUGGGAAUAGAGCACCAUGGAUAUAGACCUUCUGUUCCUACUAAUUUGUGUUUGUGGUGUGCCCCACAAGCUGAUUCCAUCCAUGUGAUGUUGUCCACUGCUAGUAGUUAUGUAUUCUAUGUCACUAUAUAUGUCCCUUGUUGGAUCUGUAUAUUAUUAUUUAACAGAAUAUCUAUAUAUAGUGCAAGAAGUACAAUUCAGAUUUGGCGUAUCACACUGAUUGUAAACAAAAUGCCUUUGCCUUUUACUUAUUGAAGCAGACAAUUGUUAUUUUCUUCCUUAGUAUUUCUAGCGUAUUAAUGUCACCCGUGUGGUUCUUAAGACCGUUCCCCGAAAAUGUGACCAACUUGGUGCGAUUUUUUUUUUUACCGUUGUCAAUCUGCAACAAAAAGUACCUUGUGUUUGGUUCUUCCGUAAUGUAACUUCAAUGUAGAACUUGGACUGGGGUAGAGAAAGGACUUGUUCAUUCAUUACAUUGCUUUGGUGGUUUCAGCACAUCCUGUGUUGACAUUGCAUCAUACUGUUAACACUGAAUUAAAUAUGGCAUUGGUCUACUAUUUGUAUAAAAUCUGUCUUCCCUUGUUUACCAAGAUAUAUUGUAGGCUUAUAUUAGACACGUUUUGAGUUGGCAGUGUAUUACUGAAAUUAACCUAUUUUUUAAAGUCUUACAUGACACCUAUGGAUUUGUAGCAAUUUAAGUAGAUGGUAGCAUUACCUAUUCAGUCCAAAAAUUAUGUCUGUAAUUAUUUAUAUGUCCCAACAACAAAAAACAGAUGGGAAUUUUCUCAGGAUUGAAAGUAACCAGCAGAAGCGCUAUGUUUUUAUUGCCACACUGCGGUGGAGUGCAGAGACAUCUAGUGUUUUAUGUACUGUACUGCAGGAGAGUUAUAAUUGAGAUGUUGGGGGAACUUGCAUAAUAGUAGCCUAAAUAAAGAAAACCCAAAUAGAUGGCUAAAAUGCCCUUCUCGGUCUGCCUAAAUAUUUGCAUUUUAUAGUCUAGAUUUCGUUUAUAGCUCAUAAAUUAUUGUCCUUUUCACAUAAUGGGCUGCGGUACCAUAUGUUCACAUGACGUUUAAUACUGUGGCCUUGCAUUGCUUCAACAUACAAACAGCCUUCUUAGGUUUGAGUUCAUUGUAGUUGUAAAUGUUUAUAAAUUGUACAGCACCUGUAUAAAAAAAAUCCCUCAUUCAGAUAAAAAAAAACCAAUACUCUGUAAAUCGUUUCAUUAUUUUUUUAAGUAUUGAAUGGAAAAUGAUAUAAAAUUGUGAAAGGAAAAUAUUCUAGUCAUGGCAUUCGGUUAAUGCACUGAUAAAUAAAGG